GAGGGGGAUAAUCCCGGGAAACUGGGAAUAAUACCCCAUAGGUCUCGACUGCUGGAAUGCUUUGAGGCUGAAAGCUACGGCGCCUGAGGAUGGCUCUGCGGCCUAUCAGGUAGUAGUGAGGGUAACGUCCUCACUAGCCGAUGACGGGUACGGGCCCUGAGAGGGGGAGCCCGGAGAUGGACUCUGAGACACGAGUCCAGGCCCUACGGGGCGCAGCAGGCGCGAAACCUCCGCAAUGCUCGAGAGAGUGACGGGGAGAUUCCAAGUGCCUACGCACAGCGUAGGCUGUUCAGAUGCCUACAACGCAUCUGGAGGAAGGACUGGGUAAGACGGGUGCCAGCCGCCGCGGUAACACCCGCAGUUCAAGUGGCAGUCGAUUUUAUUGGGCCUAAAGCGUCCGUAGCCGGUCUGGCAAAUGCCUGGGUAAAUCGUCUGGCUCAACCAGACGAAUUCCGGGUAGACUGCCAGACUUGGGACCGGUUGAGGGAGAGGGUACUCCAGGGGUAGGAGUGAAAUCUUGGAAAUCCUUGGAGGACCACCAGUGGCGAAAGCGCUCUCCCAGGACGGGUCCGACGGUGAGGGACGAAAGCCAAGGGUAGCCGAA
rnacentral:rRNA from 1 species